AGAGUUUGAUCCUGGCUCAGGAUGAACGCUAGCUACAGGCUUAACACAUGCAAGUCGAGCGGUUUGUGCUUUUGCACAUUCAGCGGCAGACGGGUGAGUAACACGUAUCUAACCUUCCCCUUACUUGGGCAUAGCCUCUGGAAACGGAGAUUAAUUUCCGAUGUGGUGUACAUUUCGCAUGUUUUGCGCACCAAAGAUUUAUCGGUAAGGGAUGGGGAUGCGCUCCAUUAGGUAGUAGGUAGGGUAAUGGCCUACCUAGCCUAUGAUGGAUAGGGGUUCUGAGAGGAAGGUCCCCCACAUUGGAACUGCGACACGGUCCAAACUCCUACGGGAGGCAGCAGUGAGGAAUAUUGGUCAAUGGCCGGAAGGCUGAACCAGCCAAGUAGCGUGCAGGAAGACUGCCUUAUGGGUUGUAAACUGCUUUUUUACGGGAAUAAUUAUGAUCACGUGUGAUUAUUUGCAUGUACCGUAAGAAUAAGGAUCGGCUAACUCCGUGCCAGCAGCCGCGGUAAUACGGAGGAUCCUAGUGUUAUCCGGAUUUAUUGGGUUUAAAGGGAGCGUAGGCGGGAGGUCAAGUCAGCUGUGAAAUGUAUCUGCUUAACGGGUACACUGCAGUUGAAACUGGUUUUCUUGAGUGCGUAAGAGGCAGGCGGAAUUCGUUGUGUAGCGGUGAAAUGCUUAGAUAUGACGAGGAACUCCUAUUGCGAAGGCAGCUUGCUGGGUCGUUACUGACGCUGAUGCUCGAAGGUGCGGGGAUCAAACAGGAUUAGAUACCCUGGUAGUCCGCMUAGCCCUCUAUGAUACUCUCUGCCGGCGAUAUAUUGUCGGUGGCCAAGCGAAAGCGUUAAGUAUCCCA
rnacentral:rRNA from 1 species